rnacentral:lncRNA from 1 species
GAAAUGGUGGUUACGGAGGUGGAGGACACUACGGAGGAGGUGGUGGAGGACACUACGGAGGAGGUGGUGGAGGACACUACGGAGGAGGUGGUGGAGGACACCACGGAGGAGGAGGCCACGGGCUUAACGAACCUGUUCAGACUCAGCCGGGUGUUUAAAACUAUAUCAUAUAUUCACCACCAUCCAUGAUUGCAUAUAUAUAUAUACACUUAUGUAUUAUGUGUAUGCUUAUAAAUAAACCAUGGUGAGUUUGUAACACAGUGCCUUCGGAAAUGUUUGGAAUAAAGUUCCAUUAUAAUCUGCGCUGUUUGCAUAAUAAAAUCGUUUGUAGGUCAUGUUACGCUCUUUCAGUUUUUUUUGUAAGAGUUUUAUUUCCUUAUUCAUAUUCUUAGGGUUAGUGAAAAAAAAGAUGGUAAACUGGCUAGGAAUUUUUUUCUUAAAAGAAAAGAUUACCAAAAACCUAGAGACUAUCGAGGUUUUGCAUACACCAACACUUACGAAGUUAAUUAAACAUAUGGAAGUGAUACGAGAUAUGGGAUCAAUUAAAACACAGCAGGGUGAUUUGUAAUCAAGAGUCUGUUGGAUCAACAAGUGUCUAUCGAACGCAGAUGGGUGAUCUAUAACCAGGUGUCUGUUGGAGCAACAAGCACCUGUGGAGAAUGGAGGAGUAACGUGCAUGGGAAGCAGCAAGCAUGGAAUAAAGAUGACGUGGCGAGCUGCUAUUGAUAUGAUUUAAUGGCGUAUCUUUCAGGAUAUUGACGAAUCAACAAAUAGAAGAUUCGGAGAUAUCUAGAUUAUGGAAACUAGGUCAGCCACGUGAUGUGUGGUUGGACCUAUAUAAGGCGGUCUAAGCGUUAGGCUUAGGUUAGCCGUUUUCCCCAUUUCUGUGAAUCACAAGAUCAAAAGCGGGAAAAGCUUGUUAGGGUUAUUGGUGAGUGAAUAGAGAGCAAAUCACAGCUAUUGUUGUGUCAGCGAGUUGGGUAGAUUAAGAAUUGGUCAGUGAUGAGUUAUGUCAACGUCGUGUAAAUCUGAUUAAAAAAAUCUGUUAGAUUGUUUAAGUGAUUCCUAAUAAAGAAAAGAGGUUUUUUUUCAAUUCUGUCUACAUCUACGUAAUAACAAUAACAAGAGCAAGAACAAAAGCUUUGGAUUAUAACAGAAAGUUCCAUAAGGAAUCUAUGAUAAUAAUUGAUUUGCAAUUAACAAAACCAUAGUUGCAAGUCUCACUUUCGCUUUCACAUUUGGUGGAGAUAAAACCUAUUUCUUUUCAUUACUCGGAGGUGGGUGUUUUGCUGAUUCUUUUACACGAUAUUAACAUUUUGUGGGUGCAUAAGUGACAGCUGAAUAUCUGAAUUCUUUCAAAUACGGAAAGCCCUUAGAGUAGUGGAACUUCGCUUGUAUUCGUUUUGGGUUCAGAUUGGCUGAUAUUUUAUAUUUUGUACUAAAUCUAUUUAAACUAGGCCUAAGGUUUAUAUCCGUUAUCCGCAGAUAUCCGUAUCCAUAUCCGGUUUUUGAUCCGAAAAAAAUGGAUAUCCGGCAAAACGGAUACGGAUACGGAUAGUAAAAUGACGGAUAUCCCGGAUACGGAUAUGGAUACGAAUAAUUCUAAAAUUUGGGCCGGAUAACGGAUAUCCGGCAAAAAAUAUAAUAACAAAUCUAUAUAUAAUAGCAAUCUAAUAAAUACGAUUUGCAUAUUUGAACGGUUGCGUCUUUUUAUCGCAACCUUUCGUUUAAAUCGGCUAUUUUCUUACAGUUAUUUUGGUUGCGUCUUUUUAUCGCAAUUUUCGUUUUAAUCGGUUAUUUUUUUACGGUUAUGUCGUUUCCAAUAAAUACCAUUUGCACAUCUGAACGGUUGCGUCUUUUUAUCGCAACUUUUCAUUUAAAUAUUGGCGGUUAUUUUUUCGGUUGUGUUUUCUUAUCGUAACUCUUCGUUAAAAUAUUGAAGGUUACUAUCUUUUGUUGACAGUUAUUUUUCAGUUAUGUUUUUUUAUCGCAAUUUUCCGAUAAAAUAUUGGCGGUUACUUUUUCGUUUAUGUCUUUUUCGUAAUUUUCCGUUAAAAUAUAGAAGGUUAUUUUUUUCUCGGUUGUGUCUUUUUAUCGCAACUUUCCGUUAAUAUAUUGACGGUUAUUUUCUCUCGGUUAUGUCUUUUUAUCGCAAUUCUUCGUUAAAAUAUUGACGUUUACUUUUUUCGUUGACAGAUAUUUUUUUUGGUUGUGUCUUUUCAUCGUAACUUUCCGUUAAAAUAUUGAUGGUUACUUUUUUCGUUUGUAUCUUUUUAUCACAACUUUCCUUAAAAAUAUCAACAGUUAUUUGUUCUCAGUUAUGUCUUUUUAUCGCAAAUUUCCGUUAAAAUAUUGACGGUUAUUUUUUCAAAGGUUCUGUCUUUUUAUCGCAACUCUUCGUUAAAAUAUUGACACUUAUUUAUUCUCGGUUGUGUUUUUUCUCGCAACUCUUUGUUAAAAUAUUGUCGGUUAUUUUUUCUCAGUUGUGUCUUUUUAUCGCAAUUAUUCGUUAAAAUAUUGACGGUUAUUUUUUUUGUUGACGGAUAUUUUUACGAUUGUGUUUUUAUCGUAAAUUUCCAUUAAAAUAUUGACGGUUACUUUUUCGUUUGUUUCUUUUUAUCGCAACUUUCCGUUAAAAUAUUGAUGGUUAUUUUUGCAGUUGUGUUUUUUAUCGCAAUUUUUGUAAAAUAUUGGCGGUUACCAUUUUCGUUUGUGUCUUUUUAUCGUAAUUUUCCAUUAAAUUAUUGACAGUUAUUUUUUCUCGGUUGUGUCUUUUAAUCGCAACUUUCUGUUAAAAUAUUGACGGUUAUUUUUUCUCGGUUGUGUCUUUUUAUCGUAACUCUCUGUUAAAAUAUUGGAUAUUACUUUUUUUGGUGACGAUUAUUUUUUCGGUUGUAUCUUUUUAUCUCAAUUUUCCAUUAAAAAUUGAGGAUUAAUUUUUUUGUUUGUGUCUUUUUAUCGCAACUCUUCGUUAAGAUAUUGACGGUUACUUUCUUCGUUGCCGGUUAUUUUUUUGGUUGCGUCUGUUUAUCAUAACUUAUGUUAAAAUAUUAACGGUUACUAUUUUUGUUUGUGUCUUUUUAUUGCAACUCUUCGUUAAGAUAUUAACGGUUACUUUUUUCGUUGCCAGUUAUUUUAUUGGUUGUGUCUUUUUGUCAUAACUUUAUGUUAAAAUAUUAACGGUUACUAUUUUUGUUUGUGUCUUUUUAUCGCAAAUUUUGGUUAAAAUAUUGACGGUUAUUUUUUCUAAGUUGUGUCUUUUUAUCGCAUUGUUUCGUUAAAAAUAUUGACAGUUAUUUUUUUGGGACAGUUCUAUUUGUUCAAUUAUAGUCAUAUUUUUUUAGUUUAUGGUUGUGUCUUUAUAGUUGCAUCUAUUCAUUUAAAUACGUCUCUAUACUAUAUUUAAUUGCAUUUUUUCAUCACAACUUUUUUGUAUGAAUAGUUGUCUAUUUAAAUGUUCAUAACUUUUGAACUCUAUAUAUUUGUCCUUCUUUCUAAAUAGUUCCCAAGUUUUGUUUUUUAACAUAGAUUUAUUGUUUCGUGAUGAAUCCAAAAAAAAAAAAAUCUGUAAAAUGGCUCUAAAUUCUUUAUUCUCUAAACUAUUUCUAAACAUAUAACAUUUUAAUAUUAAAGAAAUUCUUCUCAUUCUUGAUCUAACCAUUGUUUUUUAGAAUGAUUAUAAAAAUGGAGAAGUUUUAAUCAUCUUUACAUAUAAAAUUCUAAUGAAGACACCGACAAUUUUUUUCUUAGAAUUGGACGAAUUUUAUAGUAAAUUUUUUUUUAUUUUAACUAUUUUAUAUGAUAACAAUGAUGCUUUCUAUCUUAAAGAAAUAUAUAUGGGUUGUAUACAAGAAACUAUUAAUGUUGCGUUAAUACUAUUACAACUAGGAUAUGACCCGUGGUACACCGCGGGUUAAUUAUUUGAUUUUUUAAAUCAUUUUGUAAACUGAUGAAUUUGUUGUUUAUAAUAUUAUUUGUUGUAUACCGCGGAUCACAUGCGUUGUAACUAAAAAAUAAAAAUUUUAAGUUGUAUUUGUUUUGUUUAGUGUUUAAGAUUGUAUAAUUGUAUUUUGAUUUGUUAAUUCUAGGAUUUUACCCGUGGUAUAUUGUCCGUAUUAAUAUCGACCCAAACCCGUCUCACUAUAUAUUCCCGUCUUGUGAAUUAAACAUCAUUUUGUUAUUUUUUUAAUAACACUUUUAUUUAAAAGACAUAUAAUUCGAGUCAAUUUAAAAGUUUGUUUUCAAAUGGUUUCCAUAACAUAUAUAUAUUUUUAAAUUAGUGUGUGUUUUUGGACCAACCCGUAAAAACAAUUUAUAAUUUUAUCUUAAAAUACUAAAUAAUUGUAUUUUGAUUUGUUAAUUUUAGGAUUUCACCCGUAGUAUACGGUCCCGCUUUGGAUAAUUGUAGAAAUUAAGGAAAGUUCUAAAUGAUUCAAUUCCGGGUCAGAAAAAAAAAACGACCUAAUUAAAUACGCAAAUUUGUUCUUCAAAAAUGUUAAUAUAUAUUACACACAUACUUUUUUUCUUGAUUGAUUAAGUAAUAUAUGUCCGUUUCAAAAAAUUUGAAUCAUAGCAUAUGCAGGAAAAAAUCUAAGGUUUUAUUAACUACAUAUAUUUUAUAAUAAUUCAAAUAAUAUAAAUAUAAGAUCAAAUAAAAGUGAAAUGAGAAUCAUAUAUUUAUGUAUAAAUUAGGUAGAGAGGUUUUAGGAAAUUAGCUCAAAUUUGUUAUAUUAGCAUUAAAUCAUCAUAUUUGAUUUCCUUAUCUAUAAAAAUCGUAAAUAAUAUACCAUAAAUAAAGAGUUUAGAUAUAGUAAUUAAUUGAGAAAAUAUUUUAUAUAUUUUAGAUUUUAUUAAUUAAUUCCGUUUUUAAAUUUUGCCAAAAUUUAAGGAAAGAUCCGAUUGAGAUUUCCGGGUCAAAAUUGAAUCAAAAUCCAACCCGAUUAGGAUCCCUUAAAAGUGUUGCAAAAAUGUAUAGUAGAAGUCUAAAUAUGAGAUAACAUCCUCAUGUGACCCUUGUGAUUUUGCGUUUUAAAUGUGGUAAACGUCAAAUGAAUCGUUUCAAAUGUUAUAGUAAUCGAGAAAUCAUCUACAUUAUUAGGCAAAAAAGCAAUGAUUCCAAUUCGUCAAAUAUUUAUUCAAGGAAGAAGUUUUUUUACUCAGUUAAUUUAUCAAUAUAUAUAAAUAUAAUUUAUGAGAUCUUGUAAAAUGUAUAUUUUUUUGCAAUAGAUGUAAUUUAGGUCAAAUUUUAUAUUUUUGAACAUAUAUAAUAGAAUAAAUAUUAAUUUUAUAUUUAAAGAAUAGUGGACAAAAAAAAACACCAAUUUUUGGACGAAGUGUUUAGCCACCCAUAAGUCAUUCUGAGUACCGACUCCAUCCGAAUUUUUGGGUUUUGACCCGCUAGAAUUUUACAUCUCUAUAUUAUAACUCUUCGUUAUGUAUUUUGUCAUUUAUAAAUAAUUUUACAUUUCAAGAGUUUUUUUAAUCAAAAUUCUUCUUUUUUAAAUUUCUAUUCAUAAAUUUUUUUAACAUCUUCGAAAAAUAAUUACGAUAUAACUUUAAAAGAUAGUUAAUUUUAUGUAAUAAUUCAUAAAUUUGCAUAUAUUAUUACAAUAAUUUAAUACAUAAACACAAUCAAAUAUAUGUGUUGAAAAUGAGUUCCCCCGUGACAUAGCGGGGUUCAUAACCUAGUAAUAAUAAUAAUUAUAACUUAAAAGCCUUAUGACUCCAUUUCAAGUGUUAAAGCCCAAAAAAACUUGUAAGCCCAACUUUUUUAAUAUUGUUUUUAUUUUAUUUUCAAUGUUAAUAAAUAAAUCAUAUGACAAAAAAUAAAAAUAAAUUUCUAAUAAGAAUUUAAGAAAUUGAUUAAUGUUUUUUUUUUGUUAAAAACAUCACAUGAAUCUUUUAAACUUUUUGCUACUUUAAUAAAUUCUUUGUUUUUGUAAUGUUUUGUAUAUAUAAUUAACUUCUAGUUAUUUUAUGAAUUUUUUAAGCUUUAUAUGUAUGAUAUUAAUGAAUUUAGGAUUUUAAAACACUAUUUCCGGAUAUUCGCUUCAACGACAGAUCCGGAUACAGAUACUAAAUUGGCGGAUAAUAUGGAUACGGAUAUCUUAAAAAAACCGGAUAUCCUCCCCGUUUAAAGGCCUAAUUUAAACUAUCUAAAGUAUCUGAAAUACCCGAAAAAUCUAUACUUUUAUCCAGUCAUGCAAGUUCGGUUAACAGAAACCGAACUGAGCCAAUAUCUCAGUUUCUUGGUUUAUUUAGUUAUCAGACAAUACCACAUUAACCAAAUAAUUAUUUGGUUUAAUUCGGUUCACGGUUUAUUUUGGUUAUUGAAAUUCCGAAUUAAACCGAUAUUGGAUUAAAUUCAAUACACCUAGUUAAAUUAUGUAAAAUCAGUAAAAUCGGUUUGUUCGGUUAAUAUUGGUUAAUGGGUUUUCAAUUUAAUGUGCUAUAAUUGGUUUUGCCCCUGUCAAACAAAAAAAAAGUUUGGGCCAAUCCUUAUAAAGAAAAACGAAAAUUUGGCAGGUUGACAACAUUUUCUUUUAUGAAACGGUGCGUUUUGGAGCCUUCUUCUUCAACCUUUUUUUAUUUUUUAUUUUUUUUAUUUUUAUUUUUUUAUUUUAAUACCAGGAGGUUGUAAACCAAAACCUGUAAUCCUCUAGGCCCGAAACCACAGCAUGUAAUAUUAGUUUUAUCCCAAACGUCACUCGAACCGUCGACCUCUAAGCUUCGCCUACGAUCUUUACCAGUUGGUCUUCAACCUUGUCACAAGCCACAAAACUCUAAGCAGAGAAAACUUCUCGACGAGUUUUGAACAAAGAAAAAGAAGAUCUUGGUUGAUCGUUUAGUUCACAUGAAUUACCAAAAAUAUCGGAAAAAUUGUAAUUUUGGGUAUUUGGAUUAUUAAAAUAUAAAUAAUACUAAUAUUUUUUGGGUAUAUACUUACAUUUUUGUUAUGUUUGGAUACUUGUUCGAUUUCGUAUUCGAUAAGAUUCUUCACGUCUAGAUGUUUAGGUUAUGUUUCGGGUAUUUUGGCCUGUUCAUGCCUCUUUUUUUUGUUCAAGUUCGAUUAUUUUUUUUCGGUUAUAUUAUUUUGUUCAUGCUUCGAAAAUGUUUAAAAGAUCGCUGGUUUUAAAAAUGGUUAAUUAAAACAACUAACUUUUUGAUAGAAUAUCAAAUUUCCAUUUUUUUAAUUAUAAAUGUUUAUUGAUUAAACCAAAUUAAUAGCAUUGUUAAGCGGGUUGACAAAAAAAUAUUAGGUUUUCCGUCAAUCCUUAAUUAACUGUAUAUGUAAUCGAUGUAGUAAAUUUCCAUCCUAUUUUAUCCUAUAUACCAUACACAAAUUAGAAUCCUUUAAAUAAUACAUACAUGUGAUGGAUCACAACCGUAAUAGGAAAGACAGCAAAUGAGCCUCGCUUAUCCCUGUCCGUAAGAAACCGACAACCAAUUCCGAGUCCAACUCCAACUCCAUGCGUCUAAAAACGUAUUAUAGUAGCCCCCCACAACUCCGUUAGGGGUGCUGGCAAAAUUUCUCAUCCAAGAUCCAUCUUUCCCCAAUAGGACUCCUCCAGCCGCAAGCCCUAGAUUUCAAUGAGAGUUCCCAUCUGUUGUGAGCUUUAUCCAACCCUUAUUCGGUGGCGCCACUUGAUCACCGAAUUAAUUAAUUAGUUCACCGUCAAAUUAAUAUGGGGAAUAGGAAACUUGAUUUAGUGACACAUUUUCUUUCUAACCAUUCAUCGUAAACUUUUUUUUUAAUCAUUAACUCCACCAUUUAAAAAAAAACAACAUAUCUAUUAAUAUUAUCCAAUAAUGCGCUUACACGGCCAAUCGACCCACAAAAUAGAAGAAGAAAACAAAAACGACACCAAACCGGAGAUCUGGACAUGGUGGAUAUCAGCAGCACCGGCAGCACCUCCAAGCUCCGGUGAUAACAAGAGGCCCUUCUUGCUGCUCCAUUGCGACUCGAGUGACAUGGCCGAAGUUAUCGAUUAUUGCCACAAAUAUCCAAAGCCAACAACAGAGCCGACCCAAAAAUCCCUUUUCUGAAAAGGUUGAAACCGAAGAAAACCGAACCUCUAAUUUUAGUCCCUAACCAAGCAACAAGAAACCUAAUUCAAACCUUCACCUCCUACACCAUUCUCAACACAAUCCUCCUCCAAACAGUCAUAGCUUUGAUUCGGUCAAACAAAAACCAGAUGUGGCGGAGAUUAGAGCAAAUGGCUCAAACAAACCCUAGCCGCCGUUAUCCUCACUCGGACAUCUCAUAUCUAUUCGGAUCUGCUGCUAAUCGUCACGACAAGCAGUGACCCCAGCCCCACCAAUCUUCUUUUGACUUCCACCACCCGUCGUAGGAGCCCCUCUGACAAUCGAGCCGAGAGUUUCCUUAUGUCCUGUAGCGUCCCGUCCCGGACGUCUCGGCGUCCGGCGACCAUUGACGCUCGUUCGUGCCUCCUCCCGGCCGAACCUCCAUAUUUUUCGCGAUUUAACAUAGAAUUGCCUUUACGAGGCCUAAUUCUAUAAUCGCUUUCUUUUUACCCAGCGGAAGUCUUUCUACACUUGGUUUAAUUCCAACCAAUCUUUGUACCGGUUUUAUCGUCCUUGUCCCUAAGACUUAGAUCUUCCUUAACUCGGUCAAGACAUGCAUAUUGUUCGCUAACCAUUCUAAGUCUAACGAUUGCAUAUUCCUUUAUCCUUAAUCCAACGGCCGAUUCUCAAACGUCUAUCUUAACUAAUAAGUAAGAUUUGUUACAUACCUUGGCCAACAUGCGGAUGCGAUUCCUCUUCUAUCCGUCCAUUGAUCCUUCCCUUAGCCAUUUUGUUGCCUUAUUCCAUUCGUACAACGAUCCUUAACCAAUCAUGUAUUGAUGGACCAAUCUCUAUCGUUACUUAGCCAUACAUCCAACCAACCCCACUGGUCUAAGUCCCUACGAUAGAGAUUGGGGAUCGUACGUUUCCCUUGGUUCACGGUGGCCGAAUCAAGCUCUCGGCUCAUUGGUCCAUCCGUCCUCCAAACAUACGCCCCUUUGGUUUCAUUGUGGAAGAUCAAUGUUUCCGAUCCGGUCGUUUAUCACUACGACCACCUACGGUUUAUUAACCGUUUACCCGUCCGGUCCAUGGUGGUCGGUAAAGCCUUCGGCUUAUCGAUCCAUCCAUGCGAUCUGAACAAUAUCAUUAUCUCACCCAAGGGUCCGUGGAUUCAUCCAUCGGAUUAUCGUAGGCUAGCCCAUGAAAUCAUUCGUCCGUCGGCCUUUGGUUUGCUCGCGGGUCCAACAUCUGUUUUGUCCACCGGUUCUCACCGUGGACUUUCCUGUUGGUUAUCCGUCGAGUCACCAUUGGUCUUACUGAUUUCUAAUCGGUUUCACCAUUGGCCAUGGCGAUUGAUACAUAAAGACGGCCACGAUAUUAGAUUCUUGCAUGGUGAACCACGUCACUUACCCAUUCUCGGUGCUUACUCCCUUUACCGGUGAGAUUGCAUCCAUGGGCGACCCUUGGGUGUGUUCGGUUGCACUUACCCUCGUGCUUCCUCGAACACCUUUGAAAGACCCCGGUCCGGACUGCCUAAGUCCGGAGAGGUUCUCUUCGACCAAACCACUAAGUGAUCCGAUCCUUAGUCAAAUUUUAGGGCCAUUUCCUUAAGACAAUCCGUCUUACGAUAUUCUGAGAUUCGUUACUUAGAGUCAAUAUGCGAUAUUAGAGUAAACAAAGAAUCGAAUACUUUAUUAGAUAUUUAAAAGGAUUCGAUACAACUUAUGAGUUUGCAUAUAAGCUAUUACAAGUCAUAUAACCGAUCCUAUUCUAUCCGAUUCAUCACCACCCAUCUUCCCGGCCUUGAGUCUCUCACGCCUAAGCCAAGUCCUUCCCACGAUCACCAUCCUUUCCUGAAAGUCAAAGAGGCAUAAGUAUCCGUUUUACUUAUUAUAUGCAAGUUCAUGCAAUGCUCUCUAAGCCUUUUAACCACCCGGAACGAAGAACAGAUCGGAGAGUGGAAGUAUACGCAUCAGUUCGGCCGAUUCACGGUAGAUCUUAACAGAUCCGCCGAGCCGCAUCUCCAUUUCAACCGAUCCGCCAUUCAAACCAAGUUUAUGCAUGAUAUGAAUGAUCCCCUGAUACUACAAUAUCACCCUAUUCGUUCCGGACUUCUUCUAAGUCAUCGGAACAAUUCCUAGGCUAGAUCAUACGUAUCAUAUCUCCUUAGGUUCGGACACAAAGUCUAGAACCGUCUCACCUUCGAUCGCACCGAUCGUAACUCUUUCUUAAGUGUUUUCUCUCAAGAUGUUCUCCGAGAGUUUCUGUAUUUUUCUCUAAGUUUUUCCGUGUCCGAAAUCGCCCCAAAUGCCUUGUAUUUAUAGAGUUUCGUUUGGAAAACCGCUUCCCAACCGUUUCCCUAGAAGGCACCCUUUCGUUCCAUAACUCUGUUGUAACCGUCAACCGCAACCGCCCAACCGCUCCUACGUAACCGCCCAACCGUCCAAUAGUUAUCUGAGCUUAGCUGAGCUACCCGGCAGCUGGUCGAGCUAGCUGAGCUACUCAACAGUUACCCGAGCUUAGCUGAGCUACCCGGCGGUACUUCGAGCUUAGUUGAGCUGUACGGGAGCUGGUUUGGCUAUUUAGCGUGCAUUAUUCCCCUUCUCCGAGCUGAUGGGCAGCUCUUAUCUAGACUUGUCCGAGUUUCUCCUCCUUUUCUCGGACCAAGUCUCAUCCGACGAUCCUAUCGAGGAUCGCGGGCGUUACAAGUCUCCCCCCCUUGAAUGGGAUUCGUCCCCGAAUCCGUCUCAAGUUGAUCUUUACCCAUCUCUUUAAACCACUUAGGAAAAUCAGCCUUCAUUUUAUUUUCGGUUUCCCAAGUAGUUUCUUCGCGGCCUCCACAAUCCCAUAACACUUUUAUCAUGCUAAUUCUUUUCCGCCUUGUCCCCUUUUCCAUUCGAUCAACAAUCCGAAUUGGAUUUGCUUCCACCGUUAAGUUUUCUUUUAACUCCGAAGGAACAUCUUCUACUCGCUCCUCGUGUUCACUUAGGCAUUUCCUUAGUUGUGAAACGUGGAAAACCUUGUGAAACGCAUCUAACUUUGGCGGAAGUUUGUGUUUGUAUGCCACAACCCCUACUCGUUCGAUCACCUUGUAUAGGCCAACAUACCUUGGACUCAACUUUUUCCUUGUUGAAAAUCGUCCUUUGCCCUUAUACGUUACGACCUUAAGAUACACCAAGUCUCCUACUUGGAAUUCCAACUCCUUACGACGCUUAUCCGCAUAGCUUUUCUGUCGGUUUUGGGCCUCCUUUAGUUUGAUCUUUAGGAACUUCAUCUUUCGGUGGUUUCAUCCAUAAUCUUUGGACCAAACAGCAUGCGUUCGCCCACCGGUGUCCAACACAGCGGCGUCCGACAUGCUCAUCCGUACAACGCCUCAUAAGGUGACAUGCCAAUACUAGCUUGGUAGCUAUUGUUAUAGGCAAACUCCACCAACCUUAAGUACUUCUCCCAAUUCCCACCCCAAUCCAAGACACAUGCACGUAACAUGUCCUCGAGGGUUUGAAUCGUUCGUUCGGAUUGCCCAUCCGUUUGCGGGUGGUACGCCGUACUUAGGUUCACCCUCGUCCCUAAAGCUUUUUGAAAAGCCUUCCAGAAAUGCGAUGUGAACCUUGUAUCCCGAUCCGAUACAAUGCUUACCGGCACUCCAUGUAAUCGGACUAUCUCGUCGAUAUAUCUUGCGGCUAUAUCUUCGGCUCCAUCCGUUUUGGAGAUUGCUAUGAAGUGUGCGGACUUAGUCAAUCUGUCCACCACCACCCAAACCACAUUAUGCUUAGACUUUAUCCCCGUAGGCAACCCGGUAACAAAGUCCAUCGUUACAUGGUCCCAUUUCCAUUCGGGCAUGGGUAAGUUUUGUACUAACUCACUUGGUACUUGAUGUUCCGCCUUAACAAGUUGGCACGUUGAACACUUACCCACCCAUGCGGCUACAUCCUUCUUCAUCCCGACCCAAUGGUAAUACCUUUUUAGGUCUCGGUACAUCUUAUUGGACCCGGGGUGAAUCGAGAACUUUGAUUGGUGCGCUUCCUUAAGGAUUUCUCCCUUCAAACCCUUGUCAUUCGGCACACAUACACGACCGUUCACCACUAUGGUACCAUUGUUCGAGGUUUGGUACUCCAUUUUAUUAUUCUUCGCCCAAGUUUUCAACUCCUCGUCCGUUUCUUGGGCCAAACGAAUUCUACUAAGUAGAUCGGCUUGAUCGGCCGCACCUAAACCCAAUGGUUCAAGAUCCUUGGAUAAUGCAUUUAAAUGCAAUGUCCCCAUCAUGUUAACCAAGUCCACUUGGUUUUUCUCCGCUUCUACGUCGAAACGUCUCCUACUUAAGGCAUCGGCGACUUGAUUUGCCUUUCCCGGAUGAUAGGCAAUAUCUAAGUCGUAAUCCGCCACAAACUCCAUCCAUCUUCUUUGCCUUAGAUUUAACUCCGGCUGGGUGAAUAUGUACUUAAGACUCUUGUGGUCGGUGAAGAUUUGUACUUUGGCUCCGUAAAGAUACAAUCGCCAAAUCUUCAAGGCAAACACCACCGCAGCCAUUUCUAAGUCAUGCGUAGGGUAAUUUCCUUCGUGUUUACGCAAUUGCCUUGAAGCAUAAGCGAUUACACUACCCUUUUGCAUCAACACGCAUCCUAGUCCCGUGAUCGAUGCAUCCGUAUAGACCAUGUAAGUUUCACCUUCCUCCAGUAACACCAAUACCGGAGCGCACGUUAACAUUGCCUUUAACUCGGAAAAACUCUUCUCACAUUCCUCCGACCAUUGGAACUUAGUAUCCUUUCCUGUUAGUCGAGUCAUCGGUUGGGACAUACUCGCAAAGCCCUUCACAAACCUUCGGUAAUAACCCGCCAAACCGAGGAAACUUGUAACACCCGCGUCCCGCGAUCCUAAAGGGGGCCGGUUUGUUUUAGGAAAAAACUAGAUCAUGGUCGAGAAAGACCAAUGAAUAAGUUAACCCAAGGAAGAAAUGAAACGUUUAAGUCAUGAAAAGGGUAGAUGACAUAGACGACAUCGGGAUAAUCUAGUGAUCAUGAAGAAAUGAUCACGGAAAGAUUGGGAAUGGCGUAGUCAUGGCCAAGAAAACGGACCAAAAGACUUAGCCGGAAAGAACGCGAAAGAACGUUCGAGCUAAACCAGCUAGGUGAGCUGGACAAGCUGGAUGAACUAGCUAGCUCAGCUAGGUGAGCUAAACCAGCUGCAUGACUAGCUAGCUCAGUUAGGUGAGCUGACCGACAGCUCAACCGAGCUCGGUGAACUGAUCGAGUACUAACCCAGCUGGGUGGUCCGGUCAGCUGACACUCGAGCUGGUGGACUGUGGUAGCUCGGGAUGAAGAGGUGUAAGGUCGAGCGGUUACCGACGAACGGUUACCGUUGGCCAAAGGGUGGAUAAGGCCAAACGGUUACGAUCGGAAAGACGCAACCUUUCAAAAGGGUGCAACGAAUGGAUGUGAUGUUUCAGAAACACACCCAUUCGGCCCCUAUAUAAGGGAGGACGUCCAAGGGCCUCACAAUCAAUCCUCACACACUUCACAAUCACCACAACAAUCCAAAACAAGUCCCAAAACACUCUACGAAGUGUUGGUCGGAAAGGGGGUGCGGCUCGGCGAGUAUCUCCGGAAUCGGAAUGGAUUCUCGGAGCCUCGACCGAACUGAUGCGCAUGCUACCUCCCGAUCCAACGGUUCGAUAGAAUGUAUUGAGGGAUGGAUGGGAUGGACCGAUCGUCUUAGAGACGGAUCGGAUCGGACAAACUGAUCGUCGUACGGAUGGAUCGGAUCGGAGAAGAAGACGGAUCCGGAUAGACCGUCGCACAGACGGAUUGAUCGACCGGGAUAGGUGGAUCGAAAAUCGUGUUAACAAGUCGGAUCGACGUAUGACCGGAUAUGUGUACGAUCGGAUAAACGGAUAAAGGUUUAGAUCGGCGGAUUGAUCGAUCGUACCGAUCGGCGGGAUGACCGAUGGUACGUAUCGGAGAUCUUGUCGAGGGAACAUGGCGGAUUACAUGAUCGAGGAUUCAAUGGGAACCGCCGAAGGGUUUGACGACUUGAUUGAUGGUUCGGGUCGAUAGCUCGAUUAUGGGGUCGAUGGAUCGUCCGUUCUAUGAAUCAUAUCGUCGAGGGAAGGACACGAAAAGGAAAUGGAUCGGCAAAUCUAAGAUUGUCAAUAUGGAAGUAUUGACGAAUCCAAAGAUAGUCCGAUAGAUGAUAUGGUUAACGGGAAGUUAAUCGGGAAGGCGUAUAAGGGAAACGUGUUCGAAGAAGCACGAGGAUAAGUGCAACCGAACACACCCAAGGGUCGCCCAUGGAUGCAAUCUCACCGGUAAAGGGAGUAAGCACCGAGAAUGGGUAAGUGACGUGGUUCACCAUGUAAGGAUCUAAUAUCGCGGCCGCCUUCAUGUAUCAAUCGCCAUGGCCAAUGGUGAAAACCGAUUGGGAAUCGGUAACACCAAUGGUGACUCGACGGAUAACCAACAGGAAAGUCCACGGUGAGAGUCGGUGGACAAAACGGAUGUUGGACCCGCGAGCAACCCAAAGGCCGAUGGACGAAUGAUUUCAUGGGCUAGCCUACGAUAAUCCGAUGGAUGAAUCCACGGACCCUUGGGUGUGAUAAUGAUAUUGUUCGGAUCGCAUGGAUGGAUCGGUAAGCCGAAGGCGUUAUGACCACCAUGGACCGAACGGGUAAACGGUUAGUAGACCGUGGGCGGUCGUAGUAAUAAACGAUCGGAUCGGAAACAUGGAUGGUUCGAUAAGCCGAGGGCUUGAUCGUCCACCAUGAAACCGAAGGGGCGUACGUUUGGAGGACGGAUGGACCAAUGAGCCAAGAGCUUGAUUUGGCCACCGUGAACCAAGGAAAACGUACGAUCCCCAAUCUCUAUCGUAGGGACUUAGACCAGUGGGGUUGGUUGGAUGAAUGGCUAAGUAACGAUAGAGAUUGGUCCAUCAAUACACGAUUGGUUAAGAAUCGUUGUACGAAUGGAAUAAGGCGACGAGAAGGCUAAGAGAAGGAUCAAUAGACGGAUCGAAGAGGAAUCAAAUCCGCAUGUAGGCCAAGGUAUGUAAACGCAUCUAACUUAUUAGUUAAGAUAGACGUUUGGGAAUUGGCCGUUGGAUUAGGGGUACAAAGAAUAUGCAAUCGUUAGACUUAGAAUGGUUAGCGAACAAAUUGCAUGACUUGGCCGAGUUAAUGAUCGAUCUAAAGUCUAAGGGACAAAGAUGAUCAAACCGGUACAAGGGAUGGUUGGAAUUAGACCAAGGGUAUAAAGACUUCCGCUGUGUUAAGAGAUAAGGAUUAUAGAAUUAAGCCUCGUAAAGGCAAUUCUAUGUUAAAUCGUGAAAAAUAUGGAGGUUCGGCCGGGAAGUGGCGCGAACGUGAACCUUGGGUCGCCGGACGCCGAGACAUCCGGGACGGGGUCUCACAAGUUGGUAUCAGAGCAUGCUUGAUCCUAGGAUGGAUAAGUGCUCGGGAAAAUGUCAUGGUAAAUGACAACUAAAGGUGUAACUUAAAUGAUUGAGUCCUCGGGAAACCGAAUUAUGAACUUGAACAGUAGUGUUGGUGAGCCAGAAGGGAAUUGAGGCAAGAACGCGAUUACAUGCUUGGAAACCAAAAGAGUUUGCCAAGAUGAAUUGGUUAAGCCAAGAUGAUUACCCAAGGGGCAAGAACUACACGUGUAUCAAGUGGAUAAUUAUUCGGAGAGAAGGGCUGAUUAUAGAAGUUGAAAAUGUUAUGCUAAGUGUUUGGCGGAUAAGGAAGUUGAGGUGAAUGAGAUCGAUGUGCUUGAGGAAAGAUUACCCAAGGCAUGAUCGGGCACCAAGAUAUGACCCUUAUAGUCAAACGACUUAACAUAACGGGGAAAUAGGUAUUGAUCUAUUCGGAGAAUGGCCAAGAUCAAUAGAAAUUAGAUCUCGUCGGAAUUUGACGAAGAUCGGGAAAGACUUGAUCUAUUCGAUUGAAAAGAUGAAGGGGUAUUGACCGAGUCCGGUAAAGGGCCAAGGUCGGGAAUUAUUGACCAAGUCCGGAAAGGACCAAGGUCGGGAAUUAUUGACCGAGUCCGGUAAGGGACUAAGGUCGGGAAAAGUGACCGAGUCCGGUGGGGACCAAGGUCGGGAAAAUUAACCGAGUCCGUAUAGGACCAAGGUUGGGAAAUAUUGACCGAGUCUGAUUUGGACCAAGGUCGAAAAUUUGUUCUACUCGGGAUUGGACUAGGAUGGGAAACAUUUGAUCGCGUUCGGAAAAUGGAACAAGAUCGGGAAAAUAGAUUGAGUCCGGUAAUUGGACCAAGAUCGGGAAAAUGGAUCAAGUCCGAGAGAGGACCAAGAUCGGGAAACUUGAUCAAACUCGGAAAUAGAUAUUUGGUCAAGUAUGGAAUCUAAAGUCUUGGGAAGACUAAAGAUGGGGAAACGUUAAGGAGUAACGAAUUUUAAGGGGGGUAGACUUGUAACACCCGCGUCCCGCGAUCCUAAAGGGGGCCGGUUUGUUUUAGGAAAAAACUAGAUCAUGGUCGAGAAAGACCAAUGAAUAAGUUAACCCAAGGAAGAAAUGAAACGUUUAAGUCAUGAAAAGGGUAGAUGACAUAGACGACAUCGGGAUAAUCUAGUGAUCAUGAAGAAAUGAUCACGGAAAGAUUGGGAAUGGCGUAGUCAUGGCCAAGAAAACGGACCAAAAGACUUAGCCGGAAAGAACGCGAAAGAACGUUCGAGCUAAACCAGCUAGGUGAGCUGGACAAGCUGGAUGAACUAGCUAGCUCAGCUAGGUGAGCUAAACCAGCUGCAUGACUAGCUAGCUCAGCUAGGUGAGCUGACCGACAGCUCAACCGAGCUCGGUGAACUGAUCGAGUACUAACCCAGCUGGGUGGUCCGGUCAGCUGACACUCGAGCUGGUGGACUGUGGUAGCUCGGGAUGAAGAGGUGUAAGGUCGAGCGGUUACCGACGAACGGUUACCGUUGGCCAAAGGGUGGAUAAGGCCAAACGGUUACGAUCGGAAAGACGCAACCUUUCAAAAGGGUGCAACGAAUGGAUGUGAUGUUUCAGAAACACACCCAUUCGGCCCCUAUAUAAGGGAGGACGUCCAAGGGCCUCACAAUCAAUCCUCACACACUUCACAAUCACCACAACAAUCCAAAACAAGUCCCAAAACACUCUACGAAGUGUUGGUCGGAAAGGGGGUGCGGCUCGGCGAGUAUCUCCGGAAUCGGAAUGGAUUCUCGGAGCCUCGACCGAACUGAUGCGCAUGCUACCUCCCGAUCCAACGGUUCGAUAGAAUGUAUUGAGGGAUGGAUGGGAUGGACCGAUCGUAUUAGAGACGGAUCGGAUCGGACAAACUGAUCGUCGUACGGAUGGAUCGGAUCGGAGAAGAAGACGGAUCCGGAUAGACCGUCGCACAGACGGAUUGAUCGACCGGGAUAGGUGGAUCGAAAAUCGUGUUAACAAGUCGGAUCGACGUAUGACCGGAUAGGUGUACGAUCGGAUAAACGGAUAAAGGUUUAGAUCGGCGGAUUGAUCGAUCGUACCGAUCGGCGGGAUGACCGAUGGUACGUAUCGGAGAUCUUGUCGAGGGAACAUGGCGGAUUACAUGAUCGAGGAUUCAAUGGGAACCGCCGAAGGGUUUGACGACUUGAUUGAUGGUUCGGGUCGAUAGCUCGAUUAUGGGGUCGAUGGAUCGUCCGUUCUAUGAAUCAUAUCGUCGAGGGAAGGACACGAAAAGGAAAUGGAUCGGCAAAUCUAAGAUUGUCAAUAUGGAAGUAUUGACGAAUCCAAAGAUAGUCCGAUAGAUGAUAUGGUUAACGGGAAGUUAAUCGGGAAGGCGUAUAAGGGAAACGUGUUCGAAGAAGCACGAGGAUAAGUGCAACCGAACACACCCAAGGGUCGCCCAUGGAUGCAAUCUCACCGGUAAAGGGAGUAAGCACCGAGAAUGGGUAAGUGACGUGGUUCACCAUGUAAGGAUCUAAUAUCGCGGCCGCCUUCAUGUAUCAAUCGCCAUGGCCAAUGGUGAAAACCGAUUGGGAAUCGGUAACACCAAUGGUGACUCGACGGAUAACCAACAGGAAAGUCCACGGUGAGAGUCGGUGGACAAAACGGAUGUUGGACCCGCGAGCAACCCAAAGGCCGAUGGACGAAUGAUUUCAUGGGCUAGCCUACGAUAAUCCGAUGGAUGAAUCCACGGACCCUUGGGUGUGAUAAUGAUAUUGUUCGGAUCGCAUGGAUGGAUCGGUAAGCCGAAGGCGUUAUGACCACCAUGGACCGGACGGGUAAACGGUUAGUAGACCGUGGGCGGUCGUAGUAAUAAACGAUCAGAUCGGAAACAUGGAUGGUUCGAUAAGCCGAGGGCUUGAUCGUCCACCAUGAAACCGAAGGGGCGUACGUUUGGAGGACGGAUGGACCAAUGAGCCAAGAGCUUGAUUUGGCCACCGUGAACCAAGGAAAACGUACGAUCCCCAAUCUCUAUCGUAGGGACUUAGACCAGUGGGGUUGGUUGGAUGAAUGGCUAAGUAACGAUAGAGAUUGGUCCAUCAAUACACGAUUGGUUAAGAAUCGUUGUACGAAUGGAAUAAGGCGACGAGAAGGCUAAGAGAAGGAUCAAUAGACGGAUCGAAGAGGAAUCAAAUCCGCAUGUAGGCCAAGGUAUGUAAACGCAUCUAACUUAUUAGUUAAGAUAGACGUUUGGGAAUUGGCCGUUGGAUUAGGGAUACAAAGAAUAUGCAAUCGUUAGACUUAGAAUGGUUAGCGAACAAAUUGCAUGACUUGGCCGAGUUAAUGAUCGAUCUAAAGUCUAAGGGACAAAGAUGAUCAAACCGGUACAAGGGAUGGUUGGAAUUAGACCAAGGGUAUAAAGACUUCCGCUGUGUUAAGAGAUAAGGAUUAUAGAAUUAAGCCUCGUAAAGGCAAUUCUAUGUUAAAUCGUGAAAAAUAUGGAGGUUCGGCCGGGAAGUGGCGCGAACGUGAACCUUGGGUCGCCGGACGCCGAGACAUCCGGGACGGGGUCUCACAAAACUCCUAAUCUCGGUGGCAUUCUUUACCGUAACUUUAUUCAAUCCCUGAUAGUCAAUGCAUAGCCUAAAGCUACCAUCUUUUUUCUUUACAAACAAGACCGGUGCACCCCAUGGUGAACUACUUGGUCUAAUAAAUCCUUUUUCCAACAACUCCUCUAAUUGUUUCUUUAGCUCCGCCAUUUCCGCCGGUGCCAUCCGGUACGGAGCUUUAGAUAUCGGAGUUGUCCCCGCUUCGAGUUCAAUCAUGAAUGGGUCGGACCGGUCUGGUGGUAAACCACUCACGGCCUCAAACACAUCCGAGAACUCGUUUGCGAUCAGAAUGUCUUUCAACUCCGCAUUUGCCCCAACUUCGUGGGUUGUGAUUGUGGCUAUGUAUGCCUCACACCCUUUCUCGAGCAUCUUUUCCGCUUGGAUUGCCGAGAUUACUAAACUUCCCGAAGUUGUCCUUAUUCCUUGGAAUUUCAACAUUCCUUCCUCCCUCUCGAAUUGAAUCCGUCCUCGGUGGCAAUCAAUAUGUGUCUUAUACUUUCCCAACCAGUCCAUACCCAAAAUAACAUCGUAUUUCUUGAGUUGAACAACGAUUAAGUCCGUAGGCAUAUUGACACCGUUGACUACAACCGAGAUUUCCUGAACCACACCGGACGGAUACAUUGCUUGUCCGCCGGCGGCUAUAACCAUUCCAUAUUCGGUGUUUGGUUCUUUCUUGAACCCACCUUUUUCAACCAUCUCGGAACUCACAAAACAAUGUGUAGCUCCAUAAUCAAAUAAGGUGUGUGAUUCUACAUCACCUAUACACAAGGUCCCUACACAUUCCCCUAGAAUGCUGAGUACCCCAAUCCGUUUAUGCAUGAUGCGAUGCAAUUUACGAAUUAACAUAAAGAUCACAAGGACUUACCAGUGAUCGCCCUGAAGUUCCCGGCAUUGUUAGCAUCCUCCGACAGUUCGUAAACUCGCGGUGCUAUGGCCUGCCUCUUAGGCGGAGGCGGUAAUCCGUUUCCGCUACGGUUUGCCUUUUGUGCGGCUUGCUUUUCCACUUCCAGCUUCGGACACUCCCUCUUAAAGUGUCCCGCUUUCCCACAAUGGUAACAAGUCUUUGGUUCUUCAGCGAGAACUUUUGGUUGCCCCGAAUCCAUCCUUGGACAGUUUUGAAUCCCGUGGUCCUUACUUCCACACAGGCCACAUGCACCAAUGGCCUUCCAGCAAAUCCCACCAUGAUUCUUUCCACAAGUCAAGCAUUCUCCGCGCUUAGCACCCGACUUAGUGUCAUCCACCUUGUCCCAUUUCCUCUUCUUAUCCGCGGACUUGCUUGGUUGGCUAGAACGAUUCGGAAACUUCUCACGAUUCAUGAGUUUUUCUUCCUCAAUUCCGAUUUCGAUCAUAGCCGCCCUUUCCACCAAUUCGGAGACCGAAUUAAAGGUACGGAUUAAGCAAUGGUUACGGAUCUCCACCCUUAACCCACAGAUGAAACGGCGCACUUGAGACUGCUCAUCCUCGAGCUCUCUUCCCACGUAUCGCCUAAGGCGAUUGAACUCUUCAUCGUAUUCUCGCACCGUUCGGUUGCCUUGUAUCAAAUCCAAGUAGGCACACUCAAGCCGGUCCCAUGCUUCCGGAGGGAAAAAUUUAUUGUUAAACUCCUCCUCAAAGUUCGCAAAGGUUUGGAUUUGAUCACCCUUACGUUUCUCCACGGUGAGCCACCAAUUAUGUGCAUCCCCUUCCAAGAAGUGGAUUGCAAUGUCCUUCCGGUAAUCCUCCGGGCAUCGAGUGGAGUUAAAGUUUCUUUUGAGCCGAGUCCUCCACUCCAUCGCCACGAUCGGGUCGGAACUCCCCGUGAAGUGACUUGUUCCCAACUUCGAGACGUGCUGGAGUAAACUCAAGUAGUCUCCCCUCUUCCUUGAAAAGUUCGUAGGCAGAUUGACUUCAACAAUCUCCAAAUCUACGUCCGCAUCCGCGUCUGUUUUGUUCUCCUUCACUUGCACCACAGGAUCCGGUACAAGUGCCUUAGUCAAUGCGGUCAUUUGUACCAUCAUAGCUUUCAUCAUUUCCCAUUGUUCUUGGGCCGAUGGAAGUGCGUUCGGAUUCUCCUUCCCAUCCGUUGCACAACUGUUCUCCGGAGUUUGAUGAACCGGAGACUUUUGUCCAGCCACAGGUCCGGCCGGAUUUGUCCCAUCAAGCAUUGCUUCGACACUUGUUUCCUUGGUAACUUGUGUCUCCUCGACAACCAACGUCUCCUCUACGAUGUCCUUACCCUUAUCCUUCUUACUCUUUCCCGUUUUGUUGCUCUUACCCAUCUGCGAGAAAUUUCAAAGUUAGUUAUGGUAACUCAUAGUAAAUCGCAAGAGAGUAAGAAACAACUACCGUGAGGACCCAUAAGCCGAUGAGUGGUGAUUCCCAAAACCCGCACUAAUGGUCCUAGAACCAAGCAUGCUCUGAUACCAAUUUGAAAGACCCCGGUCCGGACUGCCUAAGUCCGGAGAGGUUCUCUCUGACCAAACCACUAAGUGAUCCGAUCCUUAGUCAAAUUUUAGGGCCAUUUCCUUAAGACAAUCCGUCUUACGAUAUUCUGAGAUUCGUUACUUAGAGUCAAUAUGCGAUAUUAGAGUAAAUAAAGAAUCAGAUACUUUAUUAGAUAUUUAAAAGGAUUCGAUACAACUUAUGAGUUUGCAUAUACGCUAUUACAAGUCAUAUAACCGAUCCUAUUCUACCCGAUUCAUCACCACCCAUCUUUCCGGCCUUGAGUCUCUCACGCCUAAGCCAAGUCCUUCCCACGAUCACCAUCCUUUCCUAAAAGUCAAAGAGGCAUAAGUAUCCGUUUUACUUAUUAUAUGCAAGUCCAUGCAAUGCUCUCUAAGCCUUUUAACCACCCGGAACGAAGAACAGAUCGGAGAGUGGAAGUAUACGCAUCAGUUCGGCCGAUUCACGGUAGAUCUUAACAGAUCCGCCGAUCCUCCGCCGAGCCGCAUCCCCAUUUCAACCGAUCCGCCAUUCGAACCAAGUUUAUGUAUGAUAUGAAUGAUCCCCCGAUACUACAAUAUCACUCUAAUCGUUCCGGACUUUUUCUAAGUCAUCGGAACAAUCCCUAGGCUAGAUCAUACGUAUCAUAUCUCCUUAGGUUCGGACACAAAGUCUAGAACCGUCUCACCUUCGAUCGCACCGAUCAUAACUCUCUCUUAAGUGUUUUCUCUCAAGAUGUUCUCCGAGAGUUUCUGUAUUUUUCUCUAAGUUUUUCCGUGUCCAAAAUCGCCCCAAAUGCCUUGUAUUUAUAGAGUUUGUUUGGAAAACCGCUUCCUAACCGUUUCCCUAGAAGGUACCCUUUUGUUCCAUAACCGUCUGUUGUAACCGUUAACCGCAACCGCCCAACCGCUCCUACGUAACCGCCCAACCAUCCAAUAGUUAUCCGAGCUUAGCUGAGCUACCCGGCAGCUGGUCGAGCUAGCUGAGCUACUCAACAGUUACCCGAGCUUAGCUGAGCUACCCGGCGGUACUUCGAGCUUAGUUGAGCUGUACGGGAGCUGGUUUGGCUACUUAGCGUGUAUUAUUCCCCUUCUCCGAGCUGAUGGGCAGCUCCUAUCUAGACUUGUCCGAGUUCCUCCUCCUUUUCUCGUACCAAGUCUCAUCUGACGAUCCUAUCGGUCUUUCCCUUAUACGCCUUUCCGAUUAACUUCCCGUUAACCAUAUCAUCUAUCGGUCUAACUUUGGAUUCGUCAAUACUUCCAUAUUGACAAUCUUAGAUUUGCUGAUCCAUUUCCUUUUCGUGUCCUUCCCUCGACGAUAUGAUUCAUAGAACGGACGAUCCAUCGAUCCCAUAAUCGAGCUAUCGAUCCGAACCAUCAAUCAAGUCGUCGAACUAUCCGUCCAUCCAACUCCUUAAUCGAAUUGUCGUUCCAUCGAUCCGAUCCAUCGAUCGAUACCAUGAUACGAUCAUUUGGUCGACCCGACCAUCUUACCCGAUCCGUCCCGUCUCUCCGACGAACGAUCCAUCCGUUCCGAUCCGUCUCUCCGACAAUCGUUCCGAUCAAACCAUCCAAACAUUCCAUCGAACCGUUGGAUCGGGAGGUAGCAUGCGCAUCAGUUCAGUCGAGGCUCCGAGAAUCCGUUCCGAUUCUGGAGAUACCUGCCGAGCCGCACCCCCUUUCCGACCAACAACUUCGUGGCAUGUUUAGGACUAUUUUCGGAUUGGGUUUUUGAUUGUGAAGUGUGUGUGGAUCAUUGUGAAGCCCUUUGGAUGUCCACCCCUUAUAUAGGGCCGAAUGGGUGCCUUCCCGAAGAAGCACAUCCGUUCUUUGCACCCUUCCGAAGGGUUGCAUCUUUUCGAUCGUAACCGCUCGGCCUUAUCCAUCCUUUGGCCAACGGUAACCGUUCGUCGAUAACCGCUCGACCUUACACCUCUUCAUCCCCGAGCUACCAUAGUCCACCAGCUCGAGUGUUAGCUGACCGGACUACCUAGCUGGGUCAGUACUCGAUCAGUUCACCGAGCUCGGUUGAGAUGUCGGUCAGCUCACCUAGCUGAGCUAGCUAGUCCUCCAGCUGGUUUAGCUCACCUAGCUGAGCUAGCUAGUUCGUCCAGCUUGUCCAGCUCACCUAGCUGGAUUAACUCGGACUCUUUUGUCCGUUCUUUCCGGCUAAGUCUUUCGGUCCGUUUUCUCGGCCUUGACUACGCCAUUCUCAAUCUUUCCAUGAUCAUUUUUCCAUGAUCACUAGAUUAUCGCGAAACCGUCUAAGUCAUCUACCCCUUUCAUGACUUAAACGUUUCAUUCCUUCCUUGGGUUAACUUAUUCAUUGGUCUUUCUCGACCAUGAUCUAGUUUUCCCUAAAAUAAACCGGCCCCCUUUAGGAUCGCGGGACGCGGACGUUACAUGUCCCCUCCUCCGGAAUCCUUAACCAGUGGUGGUACAAUGAGGAGAAAUCACGAGAUCGUCGGGAAGUUCGCUAAAACUAGCAUCCGAAGGCGGAUCAUCCACACCGCAUCACCGUUGGAGAAAAAUAACCAUCACCAACUGAUUGAACCGCUUGCCUCAUCAUUGACGUUGAAGAUCUGAAACGAAACAGAAAAAAACAAAGCUUCUAUAGAUCUACUUUUAGGAGAUAGAAUCGAGGGUUUUUUGCUGGGAACGAUGUCCUCUAUAUUUUUUCUUUAUUUACUUCGUUACAUCUACUCCACGAAAACUCUUUUUAGAAAUAAUAGCUUUUGAGUAAUAUAAAAAGAGAAAAUUUCAAAGAAAGACAAGGGUCUCAUGGGGUUCUUAUGACUAUCUCAAAGUGUCUCAUUUGAGAAUCCCUCCUAACUCCCUCUCUCUAUCUCUUUUUUUUUUUGUUUUUUAACUGUAAGAAACCCACUAAAGAACCUUCCAAUGGAGAUGCUCGAAUUGUGCGUCUGCUGGCUCUGGUGGAACCCACAACCCCGGAGCUAUGCCUCCUCUAUGCUCAUGCUUUGAUUUUGUUUGCGUUUGUUGUGUACCACCCGAGGUUGUUGGAUUUUCUCCGAUCAUAUUUUUCUUAUUCCCUUUGUGAAUAAGACAACAUUAGAACAUUGUUAAGGUCGAUGGUGGCUUGGUUUCAGCCAAGAAGUGGUGGUUGAUUUGCCUUGCUCAUCAUUUUUUUUUGGGUUUCUUCGGAUCUUCAGAGCAGUUUUAGAUCCAGUUCGUGAAAGUAUUUUUGGUCACUUUUGACAAGUUUGCUCAUCAAUUUUUGUUGGAUGUUAGUGAUUCUGCUUUGUUUUGUUCUCUUGAGUUUUUGGUGCAUAGUGUGUGACAAAGUUUCGAUUUGUGGUUUUGUUCAUUCGGAUGAGAAUUCUUCACUGAGCCGCCCUCUACUAGUCAUUAUCUGCGUUUUUCUGAUAUGUGGUUUUGGCUCCAAGGCAAAGCAGCGUGUUUGAUUUUCAGGUCUUCUCUUGGAAGGACUUAACCCAUCUCUUGUUUGUAGGUGGUCAAGAUCAGGUCUACGAGUGUCCGCGGGUAAGACUUGUUGAUCCUAUUUGGAAAAUAUUCAGUCGUUCUCUCAAGGUUUAUCCUUGAACCCUUGUCAUCUCUAGUGUUUUGAUUUCUCGGGGUGGUCGUUGUGGAGUUGUUUCGGGUUAUGUUUGCGUUGUUGUCACACGUUUGUUUCUUCCUUUGUUGUUCUAGCUACGAGUUUGAGUUCUACCGUCGUUCGGGUUGCCUCGCCUCCCAGAAGCUUCCUAGUUCUUGGCUCUCCGUCUUUUUUCUUUUGUUGCAGCUUUGGCUUUACCGAAUUCUAUACAAAAGUUUGAGUUAUGAUGUUCGUUCCAGUAUAUCAAUUUUAAUGCUUUGAUCCAUUAUCUUUACCUUUAAUUUUUUUAUUUUGCUCCAAUUUCUUUGUUUUCCUUGUUUCCUUCUUUUGGGCGUUACCUUCCAAAGAUUUUUUUAUUUUUUUUGGGAUUAUAUUUCUCUCUUUUGGGUUUUAGGGUGCGGAGAUUUCUUCAUUUUCUUUCAGCUUAGUUUAUUGUACCUUAAAUCUUUCUGAUUAUUUAUCAAGGAGAACACGAAAAAAAAAUUAUUCGGAGGUCUGCCACCAUAUGCGCCACCUAAAACUUUAAGAGCAUUUUUGAAAAUAAAUAUUUUCUGAAAUAUUGUUGAUAGGGGAUAUAUUUGAAAAAUGGUAUUGUAAAAGCUUUUAAACUAAAAGGGGAUGUUGUUGUUACCCUAGAGCUUUUAAAUUCUGACAUAACAUAAGCCGUUCCUAUUGGCUAUUGAUAUUAUCUUGUUAGUGAUAUUUUAAAAUAUGAUUCAAUUGAUUACAAACAAUUACUUGCAUUGUAUUAGUCUCUAUAUAUCUAUGAAAUCGUAGAACCAAUAGAACGACAAACUCAAUAGAAAUGACUUUUUAUUAAACACCAAAAAUGAUUAUUUGCUAGAUGAAUAAAGUUCCUCUAAUUUAGUUAGUAAUUUAAUUUUAAAGGGGAAAUUUCAAAAAAAAAAAAAAUACCCCAAAUAUUUUUAAUUUGGAUGUUUAAUACCUAAUAUUUUUGGUUGGAAUAAAAUACCUCAUUUAAAUAUUAUUGGUCUAAACACAUUAUUUAAAUUAUUUGUGGAUGGAAACCCGUACGUAAUCUAACAACCGUUAACUGGUGUUACAUAAUCAUUUAACGAUGUUAAAUCAUAACUUGAUAUAUUUAAAUAUAUAGAGACUAAUAUAUACUUAAGAAUUUCCUAGAAACCUCACAACUUUGUUUCUUGUAUACAAUUGCAAAUGAUGAUAAUUUCAAGCGAAUUUAGGUUCUUGAUAUCUAUGUGUCAUAUUUCUCUCAAAACACAUCACAGCAAAAUAGUGUUAGUUCCAUAUUUUCGUUCCAUUUAACUUUUACCUAAUUCAAAACACAUUAAUGGUUACGUGAACGUCUAAAUUCUGACAUCCACUUAUAUGCAUAACAUUUUUUUUUUCUUUUCGUCCUUCUCAUAAAUUAAUAAUAUAUGCAUGGAAAAAUCUUUCUCCAAAAUUUUGUUAUCCCACCUAACCUUCUAGAUAAUGAGUUUGAUUGGUGAACAAAAAUAAAGUAUUACAAGUUGUACAGUUUUUAUUUUUACCGAUCACAAAAACUUUAUCAAAAACGUUACUAAAAGUUUUACUCUUACCUUUUUUGUACAGCUUUCUCGUUCAAUUCUUUUAUACAGCUUAGCACUAUUUCGGUAAAGCUUACAGCUCCAGCUAACAGCUAAAAAAUUUGUACAGCUUUUGGUUACCAAUCAUACCUAAUAUUUACAAUAAGCAUGAAAAGGAUAUAACAAAAAUUGACUGUGUCAAAGAAAAAAAGCAAGGUUUCUUGGCCACGUCUGAAAAUGCGGGAAAAGGCCUUUGGGCCGUGAAAGUGAAACUUAUCAUCACUAUUUUAGUAUUUUCUUAUCAUCACUAGAUCGCUUCACUUCAUGGGUGAUACUUUAUCAUCACUAUUUUAGUAUUUUCUUGUAAUUUUAAAUUGCAUGCUCUCUCUUGGACUUGGUCCGCUAAUCACUUUACGAGGUCAUACCCAUUUGGACCCUAGUCCCUCUAGUCUCAAUAUCAUGCAAUCAGCUAUGUGAAUAGUAGUGGCGAGUAGAACUCGAACUCCUAUAUCGGUAUAUGUAUAGUGUUACCAUUACCAGUUUGUUUGUUUUUUUUAAAAUCACAAGUCGCUUGUCUUAAUCUCACAAAGUAAUUUCUAUACAUAGAUAGAAUAAACAAUGAUGUAACAAAUUAGCCCCAAAAAAGUGCUAAGAAAAUCACUAUUGAGUCAAAUGCAAGUAGCAAGUGGUACUGUGGUACUGUGGUAGAUACAUGACUACACCCAGUGACUUGGAUAAUAUUAUAGCCAAGCAAUUUUUUCAGGCAAGAAUAUUCGUAUUCACGAUAGCCAAGCAACACGUUUGCACCCCUUAUGCUACUUACUCUUGUUCAGUGUAUAGUUUUGUCUUUAUCCCUCUGUCGGCAGAGAAUAGAAGAAGGAUUCUUAACAAGUAUCAAUAGUGGACGACUUUUCUGUCCAAAUAAUAAUAACAACAUAUUUACAUAACAAUCUAAAUACAUAACAAUCUGAUAUGAUAAUAAUGUUUCAGUAAAGGAAUUCUAAAUAUCUAGAAGUUUAUGAAUGCGCUGUGUUUAUAGAAAUAUUAAAAAACUAGUGUAGUUUCCAUCUACGUUGAUUCAUAUUUUAGUUACAAUGAAUCCAACAACGGACCAUAAGGGGCCCGACGCAACACGUAUAAUAAAACUCUGAUACUUAUCUUCUUACUACUUUGUUUCUAUUAUGAUAAAUUUCCUUUAACUUUUUUCUUUUUUUUUUUUUUUUUUUUUUUUUUUUUUUUUUUUUUUAAUUUCCUUUAACUUUAGUUUUGAUAAAAUAUUAAUUGCCUUCUUUUUAUUCUACUACGGAGUAAUUUUUUGACUUUUCUCAUUCCCUAUCCUCUUCAAUUUCUAUAAAUAGAGGGCAUGCAGCGUAACAUUCUACUCAUCACUUAAUUAAUUAACAUACUAAGAGAGUUAUUAGAACUUGAAAAAAAAUGGCUUCCAAGGCUUUGAUUCUGUUAGGGCUCUUCGCAGUUCUUAUCGUCGUCUCCGAAGUGUCUGCCGCAAGGCAGUCGGGUACCUAAACUUAUUUAAUACAUUUCAGUCUUAAAAUAAACAAGAUAUAUGUUCGUGAGGCAUAUCAAACUUUAACUAACGUAAAAAAAAAAAAAAAAAUUUUUUUAACUAACGUACCAUUUGAUAAAUUAUCCAACUAUUUAUCAGAGCAUACUUCACCUAAGUGAUGUGGAAGCCCUAGUAAGUUUUGUGUAAAUUGUGUUUCGAACGUAUAUAUAAAAACUAAAGUUUCGAGUUUAUGUACCUAUUUAAGAAAAUAAUUUAAGCUGGGAAACAAAAUUGAAAUCAGGAAGAGGAAUUCAUAUUUGAUGUUCUUAAAAAUGUAUUUGAAAUUAAAUAACGUGUUUUGUUUUGGGCAGGCAUGGUGAAGCCAGAGAGUGAGGAAACUGUGCAACCUGAAGGACAUGGUGGUGGCCACGGAGGACAUGGUGGUCACGGAGGAGGCCACGGACAUGGAGGACACCACGGAGGAGGGGGCCACGGACUUGACGGAUACGGAGGUGGACACUACGGAGGAGGAGGACACUACGGAGGAGGAGGAGGCCACGGACACUACGGAGGAGGAGGAGGAGGCCACGGACACUACGGAGGAGGAGGAGGCCACGGACACUACGGAGGUGGAGGACACCACGGAGGAGGAGGCCACGGGCUUAACGACGAACCUGUUCAGACUCAGCCGGGUGUUUAAAACUAUAUCAUAUAUUCACCAAUCACCACCAUGCAUGAUUGCAUCUAUAUAUACACUUAUGUAUUAUGUGUAUGCCUAUAAAUAAACCAUGGUGACUUUGUAAUGCAGUUCCUUCAGAAAUGUGUGGAAUAAUGUUUCAUAAUAUUAAUAUAUUGUCUCUCAGUGUGAAUUAUAAUCUGCGCUGUUUGCAUUAUAAAAUGGUUUGUAGGUUUCUUGAUUCAUAUUCUUCGGGUUGGAUGGUAAACUGGCUAGGGACUUUUUUUAAGAAGAUACUACUAAAAACCUAGAGACUAUCGAGGUUUUGCAUACACCAAUACUUACAAAGUUCAUAAAACAUACGAAAAUUCCAUGGAGAAUCUUAGUAUAAGAAUUUAUUUGCAGUUCACUAAAUCAAAUCUGCAAGUCUCACUGUCUCUUUCAUAUAGGUGAAGAUAAAACAUACUCCCUCCGUUUCAUAAUAUAAGUCGUUUUGGAGAAAAAUUUUUGUUCCACAAUAUAAGUCGUUUUUAAAUCUCUAUGCAAAUUAUAUAUUAUUUUAAAAUUUUAUAACUAUUUAUAUUAUGUACUUUUACGAUUGGGUGAACUUUUUAAAAGCAGAUCUUUUUAAUUUGCGUGCUUAAAACUAAAACGACUUAUAUUAUGAAACGGAGGGAGUAUAUUCUUUUCAUUACUCGGAGGUGACCAGAUGGAUACGAUAUUUUGCUGAUUCUCUCACAAGAUGUUAAGAUGAUUUUGAAUUCUUCAUACCCAGAAAUCCCUUAAAUCAGUGGACCUUCACUUUUCUUACAGUGACACCAAGAACUUACAUUAAUGCCUCGAUCAAAUAUAUAAGAAAAAAGUCGGUUGAGAGGGACUAAAGGAGGACGAGCUUUUUUUUUGGGGGGACGAAAGAGAGAGGAAGUAUCUACUACAUUUAGUAAAUUACUAUACAUCUAUAAAUUUUUGCCAAAAGGCCUAUUUUAUUUGCAAAGAUCUACAAGAACUAUUUAGUCAAAGACGUGCACAUAAAAUUUAGAUAACUUCUUUAACUGUCUAAAAUAUAAUCAUAUAAAUUUGUUUUAAUGCUAUUUUUCAUUUUCCAACUAUGUGGAUUUAGAUCUAUAAGUUUGACAUUCAUAUACAUGAUUAUAAAUGUUUAUGUGUUAUUUGAUAUAAAUUAAAAAAUAUUUUUGUCUAAUUUUUUACGAUUUAAUUUUUUUUUUAAUAUAUUAUUUUGUAUAAUUUUAUCUAUAAUAUCAUAUAUAUAUAUAUAUAUAAAAUAUUUUAUGUUAUACUUGUGUAAAUUGUCUAAAAUCCAAUAGACCAUGAUUAAACAUUGUAAGCACUAGGUGUUGGGCUACUGCCCACUUACCGCCUAGCGCUUUCUUUAAUAUUGGUUGAGGGUGGUUCAAUUAGAUGCGUCGUGGGAGAACAUAAAUUGUAAACAAAAAAAAAUGUUCCGUGAACUUACUUAACAACAAGACUAGUUUGGCUGAGUCAACAAAAUUUAGUGAUUAAAAUAGAGUCAAUAAAAAUUAUUUUGAUAUUACAUAAUCUUUUUAUUAAAAUAAAAUUUAUAACUCAACAAAAAAAAUAUUUUACGACAAUGAAUCAUGAGUGAAAAACUGGAAAUUACCCUAUUUCUUUUCUGAGAAGUCAUUGUUAUUGUAUUUUGCUCGAUUAUGUAUAGAAGGCACAUAUACAGUUAUGUAUAUUCUUAGCUAUGACACGGAGAAAAUAUCAAAAUAAAUUGUGCUUUUUCUCAAAAAAAUUGGAUAAUCACCACAAAUAUUCAUGACAAGAUCGGACAAAGUUUGACUAUAUUGUGGAUAUUGUAAAUGUCUAAAGAUGCGGAACGCAAAAACAUGGAUGAAAUAAUAUGUGUGGCACACUUACUAUAUCCGCACAGUAAUUUACUUUUUAUUUUAUUUUUAUAUAAACGAUUGAUUUAUCGAUCAUUUGUAAAUCACAAUUCAUUAUUUCAAUUAUAAAAAAUAAUAAUUUAUCUUUCUCAUCUCUUUUCAGUAUUCUCGAUCCUUCUGCAGGUAUAAAUUCUUUAUCUAUUAUUUAUAUUAUAGACACCAUAAAAUCAAGGUAAUUAUUUAUAACACGUUAUCAGUACGAUGACUCUAUGUUCACUGACAAAUACGGUAUUAUACCGGGUAGUAAAUCGCUUCGUUAAAGAAAAAAAAAAGAGAAAAAAGGAAGAGAGCAUAAAAGAAAAGAAAAAAAUUAUAUAAUAAACAAAAGAAAAUAUAUAUAUAUAUAUAUUAUUAUUUUCUACUAGUUGUUCAGACACCGUUAUUUACUCGUUAGUAUAGUGAAAGGAAUGUCACCGCUAUAAAUAAUCAUUAUAAUGAAUGUUUUAUACACCAAGCCACCUAUAAUAUGGAUGACUCCGUUACCAUAAUUUAUUUACUGUUAUAAACUGAAUGACUCUGUCACCACAAUAUUACUGUUAAAAUUUAUUUAUGUUAUAUUUAUAUUUUGAUUAAUAUAUAAAGAGGCUCAGCCACCUAUAUAAAAACUUAUUAUCUCAAUUUAGUAAAUUUAAUUGAUUGGCUAUGAAAUUUAAAGAUUGAUUUUCUAUUUAAAUCUUUUCACUAACGGUCAUGAAAAAAAAAAUUCAAAAAUUUAUCACUUUUCAAACGGCUAUGAACAGUAAUUUUCAAUAUAUAAAUACACUCAUUUUCACUCAUUCAUUCACUCAAAAAUCAUAUCUCUCCUCAUAUAUUUUUCUAAGAAAUUUAUUUAAGUUAUGAUUCGCUUGUUUUUAAUUUUUUGCUUAAUCGCAAUUUUUACAUGUACUUAUGAUCUUUUCAUUGGAGAAUUUUCUCGCGAAGUAUUCACCAUAAGUAUCGCUUUAUUUUUCUAUGCAAUUAUGUUCUUUGUAAUCGCUUGCAUUAUUAAUAUAAAUGGUUCAAUAUGAAAUAAUAAUUAUAUUUUACUAAUACUAUCUAUUCAAUUUUGUGUUUAGAUAACUAAUGGCAAGCAUUGAGAAACUUAUGUGUCCAGCUCUAUACAUCACUUUGGCUAAUUAUAUAUCUUGGAUUGCUUACGUCGAAAUACAUUUACAUCUCUUGGAUUAAUGAAAACCAUAAAAGAGAAUAAUACCUCGACGGUUCAAGAAAGAGAAAAAUCGGUGGUCUUUAUUUUACGACACCUUAAUGAAAAUAUCAUAUGUGAUUAUACACACAAAAAAGAUCCCAAAGAGAUCUGGGAAUCCCUAAAAGUUCGAUUUGAUAAUCGAAAAGCCAUAAAUCUCCCACUUGUUCGGGAUGAAUGACAAAGUCUAAAGUUCAAAGACUUUGAUACAUUGAUGGAUUAUAAUUCUGCUAUGAUGGAAGUUGUGGUUAAACUAAAAUAUUAUGGUGAUAUUAUCACCGAUUCUCAAAUGCUUGAGAAAACAUCUACCACGUUUCAUGAAAACCUCAUUGUAACACCCUAGUUUCAGGAAUAUGGUGGUGCAUGCAGAGAGGUUUAAAAGAAUUGAUUUGUCCACCUAUGUCACCAAAGUGCACUUAUCUUUUCGAUCAACUGUCCUCAGAGAACUCCACAGUUAAGGAUGCUUGAACUGGAUCGAGCAAUUUCAGGAUGGGUGACCUUCCGGAAAGUGAUUGUCGGAACUGUGUGAGUGAGGAUAAAACACAGGGAAAGAUCAUGUAGUGAUUUGUAGGGUCGGUAAAGAAGUCUUUAAAGUCUCCCAGACGUAGCGAACCGACCGUCGGACAGGGGUGGAUCCAUGGGACCAAGAAUGGACGUGGAGCCCAGGGACGGUCAGGGUGUUACACUCAUUACCCAGCAAGAACUAUAUAAGUCAUGCGGAUACACCAAAUUUUUGGAUUUAUUUGUGACACUCCUAAUAGCGAAAAGGAUUAAUAAAACCGCUCAUGAGGAUAACUGAAAUGCCUGUAGUGAGAGUACUAUUCUCGAGUAAUGCCAUUAUAUAAGUAUUAUAUAUUUUGGUUGGUUUAAAUUAAAGUUAUUUCUGGAAAUGAACUAAUGUAUGAUUAUUCUAUAUUUUUCAAUAUCAAUGAUAUUUGCUUAUAUUUAUUAAUGUUUACAUCAGAGAGCAAAGUUGCAUUGGAUGAAAAUAGGGGACCAAAACAACAAAGCUUAUUACAAUUCAGUAAAGAUCAGGGAGAACCGUAACAACAUCAAAGAGAUACAAUGUGAAGAUGGAACAAUAGUGUCUGGCCAGGACUAAAUCAAAGCAGAGGCAGAGAGGCACUUCAAGGAUUUCCUAACAAUUAAGCCUGCGGACUAUGAGGAAUGGUCGCCGGAAGAGUUGGAAGGACUGCUAAAAUUUCAGUGUGAUGAGGCUGAUAAACUAAUGCUAACAAAGGAGGUCACAGAGGAAGAAGUUAGGAAAACUCUCUUCUCAAUGCCGGUAAAUAAAUCUCCGGGUCCAGAUGGGUUUACAUGUGAAUUUUUCAAGGAAACUUGGUCGGUAGUGGGCAGUGAUUUUGUCGUAGCCAUCCAGUCUUUCUUCAAGACAGGAUUUCUACCUAAAGGAGUUAACUCGACUAUUCUCGCUCUGAUUCCCAAAAAGAAAGAAGCUAAAGUUAUGAAGGAUUAUAGACCAAUAUCAUGUUGCAAUGUUCUCUACAAAGUCAUCUCCAAAAUUCUCGCAAAUCGGCUCAAAACUUUACUCCCCCGGUUCAUCUCUGCAAAUCAGUCUGCAUUCAUAAAGGACAGAUUACUAAUGGAAAACCUCCUACUUGCUACGGAAAUCAUCAAGGAUUAUCAUAAAGAUUCAGUUUCACCUCGCUGUGCAAUGAAAAUUGACAUAUCGAAAGCUUUCGACUCUGUCCAGUGGAGUUUUUUGCUCAACACACUACGAGCUCUUCACUUCCCUGAGACGUUUAUACACUGGAUCAAGAUUUGCAUUACCACUGCUUCUUUCUCUGUGCAAGUCAAUGGAGAGCUAGCAGGAUAUUUUGGAAGCGAAAGAGGGCUUCGCCAAGGCUGCUCUCUAAGCCCGUAUCUCUUUGUCAUCUGCAUGAAUGUUCUGUCUAAAAAGAUAGAUAAAGCUGCCAGCGACAAAAAAAUUUCUCUUCAUCCGAACUGUAAGCAACUCAGUUUAACACAUUUGUGCUUCGCUAAUGAUCUUAUGGUUUUUGUGAAAGGGGAUAAGAAAUCAAUACAAGGAACAAUGGCAGUGUUUGAUGACUUUGCUACACACUCGGGGCUGAAGAUCAGCUUAGAAAAGUCGACAAUUUACAUGGCUGGUAUUUCGGAAACAGAUAGAGAGGUUAUUCUUCAACAAUUUCCUUUCGAAUAUGGAUCAUUACCGGUCAGAUACCUGGGACUCCCGCUCUUAACGAGAAGAAUGACUGCAUCGGAUUACCUCCCACUUGUGGAAAAAAUCAGAUCACAAAUUAGUACAUGGACUGCUCGUGCUCUCUCUUUUGCAGGGAGACUCCAACUGUUAAGCUCUGUAGUGUUCAGUCUCAUAAAUUUCUGGAUAGCAGCUUUUCGAUUGCCAAAAGCUUGUAUCCGUGAAAUAGAUAAACUAUGUUCAGCGUUCUUGUGGUCUGGUCCGUCGUUGAAUCCUAGGAAAGCGAAAGUGGCUUGGGAGGAAGUGUGCACUCCUAAAAGCGAAGGAGGAUUAGGACUGCGUUCUAUCGCCGAAGCUAAUAAAGUUAGCAUGCUAAAACUGAUUUGGCGCCUACUAUCAGCAAAAGGAUCCCUUUGGGUGGAUUGGGUACAGAUAAAUUUAAUAAGAAGAGGUUCUUUUUGGGCAGUGAAAAAUAACACGUCUUCAGGCUCCUGGAUUUGGAGAAAGCUCUUGAAGUAUAGAGACAAAGCAAAAGAGUUUCAUAGAGUGGAGGUCAAAAACGGGGAGACGACAUCUUUCUGGUUUGAUUCUUGGAGCUCACUGGGAUGUAUUAAUGAGAUGCUUGGGGAUAGAGGUUAUAUUGAUCUGGGAAUACCUAAGUCAGCCACAGUUGGAGAAGUAAUGGCAAUGCAGAGACGAAGGAAGCAUCGAUCUACUUUGCUAAAUCAGGUUGAAGAGGAAAUUAAGAAACAGAGAUUGGUCAGCCGUGUAGGGGAAGAGGAUAUAGCUCUUUGGAGAGGGACAAAGGACAAUUAUCGAAAAAAGUUUUUAACAAGAGAGACGUGGAUGCAGACCCGCAAUGCAAGGCCAACGAUGGAGGGGUAUCAAGGGAUCUGGUUCUCUCACUCCACCCCAAGGUACUCCUUUAUCACAUGGUUGGUUGCAAAAAACAGAGUUGCUACCGGUAAUAGAAUGUUAUUGUGGAACCAACACGUAAACACGAGCUGUGUCUUGUGUAAUGACCCCAUGGAAACCAGAGACCACCUUUUCUUCUCUUGUUCUUACUCACGACAGGUUUGGGAGGAGGUAGCAGGAGGAAUACUCAGGAACCGGUUCUCAACGGAUUGGCGAGAGAUACUCAAACAUACUUGUGACAAAAAAACUGACAAAACCAAUGUCUUCAUUCUACGGUGCGUGUUCCAAAACACAAUUCAUGCGGUGUGGGGUGAAAGGAAUUCAAGAAGGCAUGGCGAGCAACCAUCACCAGUGGAAAAGCUAGUCCACAUGAUAGACAAGAACAUCCGAAACCGGCUGAGUACAAUUCGGAGUGGAGGAGACUUCAAAUAUGAAGGCGGCCUCCGAUUGUGGUUUGGAUCAAGACAAACUCAAGUUUAAUCUCAUUAUGUUAGAGAUUCUUUUUCUAUGAAACGUAUGCAUUAAGUUGUAAAAUAAGUUUUUUUCUUCUCUUUUUUGAAUAUAAUUUAACAUCUAUUCAAAAAAAAAAAAAAAAAAAUUACAGAAAUAGAUCAAGAUUCAAAUAAAAUAUUAGCAAGGGAAAAUAUAAAAAAAAAUUGUAUACGAGAUAGUGGAACAACAUACACUAUUCUGAGACUUUAUAGAUUUUUCUAUGAAUUGAAACCAACAAAAAUUAUUGUUAAUACAAUAUCGGAUCCUACAAACUGGAUUGAAGGAAGUGGCAAAGCAAAUUUUAAAUUGCCUAAUGGAACAAAGUUUUCCAUAAAUAAUGCAUUAUAUUCUCCAAAUUUUAAGAGGAAUUUGUUGAGUUUCAAAGACAUAUACCUUCAAAGAUAUGAAACUCAGUCUGCAACUGAAGAUUGAAAGAAGUAUAUGUAUAUAACUUCUAAAAAAUUUGGAAAACGACAUGUCUUGGAAUGAUUUCCCGAACUUCCUUUGGUUUGCAUCAUACCUAUAUAGAUGCCAUAAAUCACAUCUUGUGAUAUCAAAAGAAAUCCAGAAGAUUUUGUAUUAUGCCAUGAUCGCCUUGGUCACCCAGGCACUACAAUGAUACGGAAAAUCAUAGAGAGCUCACAUGGUCACUCAUUGAAAAAUCAUGAGUUGAAUCAGGGAAAUAAAAUGACAUGUGCAGCAUGUACUCUUGAAAAAUUGAUCAUAAGGCCAUCGCCAACCAAAAUUGAUAAAGAAUCAUCAAAGUUCUUUGAACGAAUUCAAGCCGACAUUUGUGAACCGAUACAUCCACCAUGUGGAGCAUUCCACUAUUCUAUGGUAAUGAUUGACGCAUCUAGCAGAUGGUCACAUGUUUGUCUAUUGUUAUCUCAAAAUUUGGUAUUUGCGAGAUUUAUAACUCAGAUAAUCAAAUUAGGAGCUCAGUUCUCUGAUUAUUCAAUAAAGAGAGUUAGACUAGACAACGCUGGUGAAUUCACGUCCCAAGCAUUCAAUGAUUAUUUUAUGGUAAUGGGAAUUAAAGUUGAACAUCAUGUACCUCAUGUUCAUACACAAAAUUGUUUAGCGGAAUCAUUAAUUAAAUGUCCGCAAUUGAUUGCAAGACCAUUGAUCAUGAGAUCAAAACUUCCAACCUCUGUAUGUGGACAUGCCAUUUUGCAUGCAGAAGUACUCAUUCGGAUAAAAACAAGUGCAUACCAUAAAUACUUUCCACUACUGUUAGCAUUUGGUCGAGAACCAAAUAUAUCCCAUUUAAGAAUUUUUGGUUGUGCGGUGUAUGUACCUAUAGCACCACCACAAUAUAUAAAGAUGAGACCACAAAAAAGGUUAGGAAUAUAUAUUAGUUGUGAUUCUCUAUCAAUUAUAAGAUACCUACAACCGCAAACUGGUGAUGUCUUUACGGCACGUUUUGCUGAUUGUCAUUUUGAUGCGAAAGUAUUCCCUGUUCUAGGGGGAGAAAAUAAGUAAGUAAGAAAAGAAAUCAAAUGGUGUGUACCAUCCUUGUUAAACCUUGAUCCUCAUACAAAACAGUCAGAAAUAAAAGUUCGACAAAUUGUGCAUUUGCAAAGUAUAGCAAAACAACUUCCCGAUGCUUUUGCAGAUACCAAAACGGUAACUUAAUCAUAUAUACCAGCUGCAAAUGUUCCUGCUCGAAUUCAAAUACUACAAAAACGUGGAGGAGCAGAUGAUAGACGUGAGUCUAAAACACGCUUGAAACGUGGUAGACCAGUUGGUGCUAAGGAUAAAAAUUCUAGAAAACGAAAAGAAAUUGAAAAGCAUGAUAUUCCCAAAAUAGCAGAAAGCAUUUUGUAAGAAACAAAUCAUGAGUCUAAUGAAAAUGAUGAGUAUCAUGAGCCUAAAGGAAAUCAUAAAAUUUCCAUAAACUAUAUCCAUAAUGGAAAGAUAUGGAAUCGGAAUAAAAUGGAUAAUGUUGAUGCCGUUUUCUCAUACCUUUUGUCAAAGGACAUCGAUGAGGGAAACGAGGAUCCAGAACCAAAGUCUGUAUAUGACUGUCAAAAGAGACAUGACUGGAUAAAAUAGAAAGAUGCAAUACAAGUCAAACUUGAUUCGCUCAAUAAGCGAAAUGUAUUCGGACAUAUUGUACUCACACCUGAAGAUGUGAGACCGGUUGCAUACAAAUGAGUUUUCGUUAUAAAACAAAAUGAGAAAAAUGAAAUUACGGGAUACAAGGCUAGUCUCGUAGCUCAAAUUUUUUUUAAAAGACCUGGGAUUGAUUAUGAGGAAACAUAUUCCCCCAUCAUGGAUGUCGUUACAGAAUAUUUAUAUCAUUGGAUACAGAAAUCUAUAUGAGAGUUCCCGAUGGGUUUAAUAUGCCGGAAGCAUUAAAAUCUAAACCCAAAGAGUUGUGUGAAAUAAAUUUGCAGAGAUCAUUAUGUGGGUUAAAGCAAUCUGGACGGAUGUAGUAUAAUCGUCUCAGUGAGCACUUAACGAAAGAAUGGAUAUGUGAAUGAUCCUAUAUGCCCAUGUGUUUUCAUAAAGAAAACAAUAUCCGGAUUUGUCAUAAUCGCGGUAUAUGUGGAUGAUCUAAACAUAAUCGGGACUCAAGCAGAAAUAUAGAAAGCAACAAACUAUUUAAAAGGGUAUUUGAGAUGAAAGAUCUCGGACAAACAAAAUUUUGUCUUGGCCUACAAAUUGAACAUAUUAAAAAAGGUAUAUUUGUACAUCAAUCCAUAUACACCAAAAGAUUGUUAAAACGUUUUAAUAUGGAUAAGACAACUCCUCUCAGUACUCCAAUGGUCGUUAGAUCACUUAAUGUUGAAAGUGAUCCAUUCAGACCACCUGAGGAGAAUGAAGAGAUACUUGGUCCUGAAGUACCGUAUCUAAGCGCAAUUGGAGCCCUUAUGUAUCUUGCAAAUUGCACCCGACUUGAUAUUUUAUUCUCUGUUAAUCUUUAGGCUAGAUAUAGUUUGUCUCCUACACGAAGACAUUGAAAUGGGAUUAAACAUGUUUUUCGUUAUCUUCAAGGGACUAUUGAAUUAGGAUUAUUUUAUCCUAAAAAUAUAAAUGGUCAAAUGAUUGGUUUUGUAGAUGCAGAUGCAGAAUAUUUAUCAUACCCACACAAAGCUCGAUUACAAAUAGGAUACAUAUUCACGAUUGGAGGUACCGCUAUAUCAU